rnacentral:rRNA from 1 species
CCUACGGGGGGCAGCAGUGGGGAAUAUUGGACAAUGGGGGCAACCCUGAUCCAGCCAUGCCGCGUGUGUGAAGAAGGCCCUCGGGUUGUAAAGCACUUUCAGUGAGGAAGAACGCCUGGUGGUUAAUACCCAUCAGGAAAGACAUCACUCACAGAAGAAGCACCGGCUAACUCCGUGCCAGCAGCCGCGGUAAUACGGAGGGUGCGAGCGUUAAUCGGAAUUACUGGGCGUAAAGCGCGCGUAGGUGGCUUGAUAAGCCGGUUGUGAAAGCCCCGGGCUCAACCUGGGAACGGCAUCCGGAACUGUCAAGCUAGAGUGCAGGAGAGGAAGGUAGAAUUCCCGGUGUAGCGGUGAAAUGCUUAGAGAUCGGGAGGAAUACCAGUGGCGAAGGCGGCCUUCUGGACUGACACUGACACUGAGGUGCGAAAGCGUGGGUAGCAAACAGGAUUAGAUACCCUAGUAGUC